GUCAUUUCGUCUCAUCUCAAAAAUGGCCACUGACUCUUUACCUCCCCCUUCUCCCAUGCUCCUUCUCAUCAACAUGAGGAUUACUCUAAUCAUUUCUAUCUUCAACACGGUGACCAUCCCAGUGCCAUUCUCGUCUCUCAGCCACUAAACGUCGAUAACUAUCUUACUUGGAACCGAUCUAUGUCCGUGGCUCUUAUUUCCAAGAAUAAGUUUUAUUUUGUGAAUGGUGCUUUGCCACCGCCUCCUACCUCUGAUCCGAUGCAUAGUGCAUGGAUCCGGUGUAAUAUAGUGGUUCUGUCAUGGCUUCUCAACGCUAUGUCGAAGGAGAUAGUGUCAUCUGUCAUCUAUAUCAAUUCUGCCGAGACUAAAGGAAAGGUUUGCUAAAAGCAAUUGCCCUCACAUUUUUCAGAUCCGAAAGAACAUUGAUUCUUUAACUCAAUAAGCUUCAUCUGUAAGUUCUUAUUUUACUCGUUUAAAAAGUUGUUGGAAAGAAAUGGUUCAUUUUUGCCCACUGCCUCCAUGUUCUUGUGGAGCUAUAAAGAAAAUCGUUGAUUUUCAGCAAGAAGAUUAUGUUCUACAGUUCUUGAUGCGCCUCAAUGAGUCUUAUGCUUAUCUGCGCAGUCAGAUUUUACUUUUUGAUCCAUUUCUCCCAAUUAAUAAGGUUUUCUCUUUUGUUUUACAAGAAGAGAAACAGAGAGAAAUUGUAUCUGAUUUUCUGACUUCUAUUGAAUCUGUUGUUAUGUUUUCGAAUAGAGAUUCUACUCGAGAUUUUAAUCGUAGAUCUAUUGGAUCACCUGGAUCUAAUGGAUCCAAACAUGGCAAGGCUUUUGUUCCUCGGAAGGAUCGACAAUACUGUACACAUUGUGGUUUAUCAGGGCACACCAUUGAUAAGUGUUACAUGAUUCAUGGGUAUCCUCCUGGAUACAAACUGAAAUCUUGAAACCCUAAUGUCAAUCAAGUGUCUGCUAGCCAAUCUAAUAUUUAUGAUUCAGUUUUAACCCAAUCAUUUCAUUUUUCUCAAGAACAAUGUAAACAGCUCAUUAUAUUUCUUCAAACUCAAUCUAAUGUUUCCUCUGCAAAUCAAGUAGGAACAGUUUCAGUACCCUCUAAUUUUCUGUAUCCUCCACAUUUGAUCCUUGUUUUUCAAGUACUUCCAUUGUUCUUGCUAAUAAUACUCAUAAUUCCAGUCCAUCUCAAUCUUGGAUUCUUGAUUCGGGUGCAACAGAUCAUAUGAUUGGUCACUUAUCCAUUUUUUCUUCCAUAAAUUCCAUUGUCAAUAUUUGUAUCAAAUUACCUAAUGGGUCAUAUACUCAAAUCACACAUAAGGACACGGUUAGGCUUUCUGAUUCCUUUGUUCUAACUGAUGUUUUGUAUGUUCCAGAAUUUACUUUCAAUCUUAUUUCAGUAAGCAAAUUAGUUUCAUAGUUAUCAUGUUUUCUUUUAUUCUUACAUGAUUUCUGUUAUAUUCAGGACCUCUCCAAUUGGAGGACAAUUGGAGUAGCUAAGCAAUCACAAGGACUGUAUUAUUUAAUGCAAGUACCAGGCACUACUUCUAUUUCUUGUAAUUCUGUUGAUAAUGAUACUUCACCUCACUGUAAUUCUGUUAGAAAUAACUCUUACAUAUGACAUUGUUGACUUGGACAUAUUUCUAAUUCUCGAUUACAUGACAUUGCUUCUAACCUUUCCAACCUUACAUCUCAACAUAUUAAUUAUUGUGAUAUAUGUCCUUUAGCUAAACCGAAACGAUUGUCUUUUCCUUUGAGUACAUCUCAUACAACAUCUGUAUUUGAAAUCAUUCAUUAUGAUGUAUGGAGACCUUUUUCUAUACCCUCUUAUAAUGGCUUCAAAUAUUUUUUAAUCAUUGUAGAUGAUUUUAGUAGGCGUACUUGGAUAUACUUACUUAAGUCAAAAUCUGAAACUCGAUCUUAUAUACAAGCAUUUUUUUCUUUUGUUGAGAUUCAGUUUAAUUCAAAAAUCAAAACUGUUCGUAUUGAUAAUGUUUUGGAGUUUGAUAUGAAAUCUUUUUUGCUGAUAAAGGGGUUAUACAUCAACUUAGUUGUGUAUAUACUUCUCAACAGAAUGCUAUUGUUAAAAGAAAACAUCAGCAUAUAUUAAAUGUUGCUCGGCCAUCAGAUUUCAAUCUCAUAUAUCUUUAAAUUUUUGGAGUGAUUGUGUUUUAACUGUUGUUUAUCUUAUAAACAGAAUUCCAACUCUUAUUAUUUCUAAUAAAUCACCAUAUAAGGUGUUAUUUUCUAUUAAACCCCAAUACAAUAAUCUUAAAAUUUUUGGUUGCCUUUGCUAUGCAUCCAUUCUUGGUGGUUCUUCAACCAAAUUUUCUCAUUGAGCUCAAGCUUGUAUAUUCCUUGGAUAUCCAACUAGUAUAAAAGGGUAUAAACUCUAUAACAUCCAUACUCAUAAGUUUUUAAUUUCAAGAGAUGUUGUCUUUUAUGAGACUAUUUUUCCUUUCAAAUCAGAUUCUAUAACUUCAUUAGAUUCUGGUUUCAUUCAUGAUCCUAUUUUACCAGGCCCUUUAUCAAACAUUGUUCUAAAUCCUUCUCAAUCUCCAUCUCAUUCUCAAUUAGAUACUCUUACAUCAUCCAAUAUUCUAUCCACAUCUUCCAAUCCAGAAAAUGAUUAUGUUUCCAUUCCUACCUGAAAAUCCACAAGAAAUAGAAGACCACCUAAUUACUUGCAACAUUACCAUUGUUCCUUGAUCAAUACUAAUGAAGUUACUCAUUUUCCUCUGGUUGAUAGUUCUUCAGCAGUAGGUAUUGUCUACCCUAUUUCUUCAUUCUUAUCAUAUUCCAAAUUUUUCAAUUCCUAUAAACAUUUUUGUCUUCUGUUGACUCUCUAUAUGAACCUAAAUUCUUUCAUCAAGCCAUAAAACAUCCUCAUUGGAGGGAUGCAAUGGCCGCUGAAAUCAAUGCUCUUGAAGCUAAUAAUACUUGGGUUUUUACUAACUUACCUACUGGUAAGCAAUCAAUUGGUUGUAAAUGGGUAUAUAAGUGUAAGUUGAAAUUUGAUGGCACUUUAGAGAGAUAUAAGGCUCAUUUAGUAGCCAAGAGUUAUACUCAACGUGAGAGCAUUGAUUAUUUUGAUACUUUUUCCUCUGUUGCAAAGCUUACUAUUGUCCGUUGUUUUCUUGCCUUGAUUGCUAUUCGCAACUAGGAAUUACAUCAACUGGAUGUAAACAAUGCAUUUCUUCGUAGGGAAUUAGAUGAAGAAGUUUAUAUGAAAUUACCACCUGAUUUUUUGAAACCUGGAGACACUUGGGUAUGCAAGUUACUUAAGUCUCUAUAUGGCUUAAAACAAGAUUCUCGUAAGUGGUUCUCUAAGUUCUCUUCCACUUUGAUUACUUAUGGUUUUAAUCAGUCUAAAUUUGAUUAUUCUUUGUUUACAAAGUGUUCUGGUAGUUCUUUUAUGACACUAUUGGUGUAUGUUGAUGAUAUUGUCAUUGUCUCUAAUAAUCCCACAUUUGUUGCUGAUCUUAAGGAAUUUCUGCAUUUACAUUUCAAGCUGAAAGACCUUGGCAAUUUGAGGAAUUUUUUGGCUCUUGAGGUGACAAGAUCUACUAAAGUUUUUGGACCAUCCACGCCAAUCUCGUCAUGAUGUUGCUCUCAGAGUUGUAAGAUAUGUUAAGGCUACUGCUGGUCAAGUUCAUCUUCUCUGCAGCUAAAAGGUUUUUGUGACUCAAAUUGGGCCACAUGUCCUGAUUCCAAAAGAUUCGUCACUGGUUUUUGCAUCUUCCUUGGUGAUUCACUGAUUUCAUGGAAGUCCAAGAAACAAGUGAGUGUUUCUAGAUCUUCCGUUGAAGCUGAAUAUCGUUCAAUGGCUUCUGCUUGUGAAAUAAAAUGGCUCACUGCAUUACUUGCUGAUUUAAGAAUUAUUUUUUCCUCUCCAUUUGUUUUGUAUUGUGAUAGUCAAGCAACAUUACAUAUUGCUGCUAAUCCUGUUUUUUAUGAAAGAACAAAACAUAUUGAGAUAGAUUGUCAUUUAGUUAGGGACUUGAUUCAAAAUGGCAUUGUAAUUACUUUA